rnacentral:lncRNA from 1 species
AUUAAUCUAAACAAGUACCAUUGAAAAAAAAAACCAAGACCAAAAUUAAUUAGGACAUAUGAUUGACUGAUCGAUAUAUAUAGUUCAUGCCUCGUAUAUAUAUCAAGUCAAGAUCAGAUGGUUGAUGUAAGAGUAGGUUUUUUUUUUUUUUUAAAUCAGCUGAGUAAGACUUUGGCAUGGCUAAAACAAGGGUAAUGAAAUAAUCAACAAAAUAUCAAGCAACAGAGGAAUCAAUAUACAAAUUUUUUUAUAUUAUGAUGUCAAAAUGUAUAUCUCUAUCAAGAAAAAGUAAUAGUUAGGCAUGCAAGAAUAAGUCAAUACUUCUCAUCAACUUUUCGAUAAGAUGAAAAAUCUC